rnacentral:rRNA from 1 species
AUGGGGUGCAGCAGGGGCGAAACCUUUGCAGUAGGCGAAAGCCUGACAGGGUUACUCUGAGUGAUCUCCGCUAAGGAAAUCUUUUGACGCCUCUAAAAAUGGUGUAGAAUAAGGGGUGGGCAAGCCUGGUGUCAGCCGCCGCGGUAAUACCAGCACCCCGAGUGGUCGGGACGAUUAUUGGGCCUAAAGCAUCCGUAGCCGGUUCUUUAAGUCCUCCGUUAAAUCCACCUGCUUAACAGAUGGGCCGCGGAGGAUACUAUAGAGCUAGGAGGCGGGGGAGGCAAGCGGUACUCAGUGGGUAGGGGUAAAAUCCGUUGACCCAUUGAAGACCACCAGUGGCGAAGGCGGCUUGCCAGAACGCGCUCGACGGUGAGGGAUGAAAGCUGGGGGAGCAAACCGGAUUAGAUACCCGGGUAGUCCCAGCUGUAAACGAUGCAGACUCGGUGAUGAACAAGCUUCGUGCCUGUUCAGUGCCGCAGGGAAGCCGUUAAGUCUGCCGCCUGGGGAGUACGGUCGCAAGACUGAAACUUAAAGGAAUUGGCGGGGGAGCA